UGGGGAAUAUUGCGCAAUGGGCGAAAGCCUGACGCAGCGACGCCGCGUGAGGGAUGACGGCCUUCGGGUUGUAAACCUCUUUCAGCAGGGACGAAGCUAACGUGACGGUACCUGCAGAAGAAGCGCCGGCUAACUACGUGCCAGCAGCCGCGGUAAUACGUAGGGCGCAAGCGUUGUCCGGAAUUAUUGGGCGUAAAGAGCUCGUAGGCGGUCUGUCGCGUCGGUUGUGAAAGCCCACAGCUUAACUGUGGGUCUGCAUCCGAUACGGGCAGACUAGAGGCAGGUAGGGGAGCAUGGAAUUCCCGGUGUAGCGGUGAAAUGCGCAGAUAUCGGGAGGAACACCGGUGGCGAAGGCGGUGCUCUGGGCCUGUACUGACGCUGAGGAGCGAAAGCGUGGGGAGCGAACAGG
rnacentral:rRNA from 1 species